AAAACAUUUCAAACAACUCUGCAUCUCUGCCCAGCCUGGCAAGAGUGUCCAAAAGGGUGUUUAGCAUCCCCAGUGGUUCUACAAGUAUGGAGAGGAUAUUCACUGCUGCUGACCUGCUCUUCAGCCACCAUCACAUGAGACAGAAGCCACAGAAUGGCCAAACUGGUGUUUCUAGAAAUGAAUUCAAAGGCACUAAUAAGUCAUUUUUCGUUUAAUUAGUAUUUAAUUCUAAGUCAAAUCGAAAUUGUAUUUGUCACAUGCGCCAAAUACAACAGUGAAAUGCUACUUACAAGCCCUUAAUAACUAACAAUGCAGUUUUAAGAAAAAAAAAAAAUCACAGCCUAUUUGCAAAAGAGAGAGAGAGAGGUGUAGAGAGAGAGGGAGAGAGAGAGAGGUGUAGAGAGAGAGAGAGAGAGAGGUGUAGAGAGAGAGAGGGAGAGCGUUGUAGAGAGAGAGAGGUGUAGAGAGAGAGGUGUAGAGAGAGAGGGAGAAAGAGAGAGGUGUAGAGAGAGAGAGAGGUGUAGAGAGAGAGAGAGGUGUAGAGAGAGAGGGAGAGAGAGGUGUAGAGAGAGAGGGAGAGAGAGGUGUAGAGAGAGAGAGAGAGGUGUAGAGAGAGAGAGAGAGAGAUGUAGAGAGAGAGAGAGAGAGAGAGAGAGAG
ensembl:lncRNA